GAAAUGCUACGUAGGAUAAAUUAAGCCUUGAGCAAGUGGCACCAGCUUAAAUGCAAAAUCUUGUAAAAUAAAUAUAUUAUUUAUAGUUUUAAACAUGCACCCACUUCAAAAUAACCUCAAAUUAAACUGAAUAUGAGGGAUUGGGCCUUUUCAAAUCAAAUUCACCUCCACGUGUCCCUGAGUUCAAUUUGUUUUGCAGAAGAACAGAAGUUAAAACCAAAGUUGUUUGCGUGUUAAGAGUACCUGGCUGCGAUCCUUCCCAGCUCCAUCAGGCACAAACAAACCUCCCGAGGCUGCUUGUGAAGGACUUCACACAGCACAUAAACAAAGGGAAGAGAGGGGGCAGAGGCAAGAAAGUUACUCAUCUGAGAGGAAAAGAUGCUUUCAGAGAUAAACUUCCACCUCUGUCAAAACAAAAACAGGAGCUGCACCCGGAGCAGACGACACGUUUCAGGAGGGUCUCCGUCUUUAUUGUGUAUCUCUAUCUUUGAAGCUGAUCGGGAAUUCCUGUGGGCUGUCAAAUAAAUCGAAGCUGAGGGCAUGAGGGCAGGAGAGCUUUGUCUGUCCAGAAUGUAUACAUUAAAAGGGAUCUUCUUUCAAACCGAGCCUUGGUUAUAGUGUAUUUUAUGUGGAAAGUUUCAUUGUGAAAUGACUAAGUGUAUUUGUAUGUUUAUCUGCUGCAUCUCUGCUGUCGUCCCUGAAGCCUUCUCUCCCUGUCAUUCAGCUGAAGUGGCUUCGUCUGCCUGCAGGCUGGAUUUAUUGUUCGCGGGGAUUAACCUGCACAUUAUCAUUCUCACGCAGCAAGAGCCUUGCAAAGACAUGCCCAGGUUUGUGUGAUUGAAUAGUUGUGCGGUUGUCUCACCUUGCCGCCGUCGCCGCCGAUCAUCUUCUCCUGGAGCAGCUGUGCCAUCUGACAGAGGACAACGCCGUUAUCCAACCUCUCCACGAGAUCGUCUGCGGUGGCGGUAAUGAGGCUUAAGCACUUGGCACUACCCGUCAUUCAAACAGUAGAACAAGGAAGUAGCUGCUGUUCCAAUUGAAGAGAUCGUACUUGUGUACUCCUGUACUUGUUCCGACUUCCGAUGUAAAUGGAAUGCAGAAAAACAAAAACCUCAAUGAAACAUCAGAGUGAGAGUACAAGUUGGAGCUGUGGAGCGUUUGCCGUCACCUCAGCAGCAGCCAUUAGCUGGGCAGUCUCCCCGAUGCUCUCCUCAAUGUAGCAGCGCUCCUCAUCGGUGAUUGUUGGGUGUUCAGCAGGGCUCUCAUAAGACACAAGGAUCCAGAACAUGUACCAGAAUAUGCCAAAGCACCCUGCAGAGGCAGAUUACAGGAGAGAUUCUUCAGAUUCUUAACAGAGGAAGUCCAACUUAUUAAGCUGCAAAUGAAGCACUGCAGCUAUUGGGGAAUUAGAGCCAGACACGAAAGCUUAACUGGACUCACUUCAGUCCGGUGCAGAAAGAUUGAUGGUUAUUUACAGGCAUGCCAAAACAUUGGACGAGAUCAAUACACAGUCUGUUGGGAUAAAUCUAUUUGACUUUCACUGGGCUUUCUCACUGUUGAAUUCUCCGGUUUAAAAACACUUCAGCCAAACAUUUGCUGACACUGGGGAUCCAAGAGCCUUAGAUCACUGUCCUAUAGGAGACUCUCACAGUGCACUCACUUGACGGUGGUUGGGGGUCAGACCCUUGGUGAGACAGGCGGCUAUAGAAGGUUAGCAGAGCAAUGUUUGUCAUGGCUAACUACUGUACAUAUGUCUGACAUCGGCAACGAGGAGAACAAGCUUGUUCGAGAGCUCCGUUUGGCCUGUGUAGGGUUUGAGCUGGCCAGCACUAGCGUUGAAGUGUUUGCAUAAUGUGAUAUAGGAUUGGCCAACGCUUGGAAAGUUGAACAUUUCUCAACUUACAUUUUCCAUUUAAGCUUUUUAGCAGAAAGAGAAUGAGAGUGCAGAAGGAGAUGGUGCAGGGGAGGGGGUAUGGGGUAGGGUAAGGGCUAGGACAGAAGAUGCUCUUGGAAGAGCUGGGUUGUCAAGAGCUUCUUGAAGACGGCCAGGGACACCCCUGUUCUGGUAGCGCUCGGCAGGUCGUUCCACCAGCGUGGAAACAGUCUGGAUUGUCGUGUGCGGGGUGUGACGACAAUCCUUUGAUGAAGGGAGUAGUCAAGGGGGGGUAACAUGAGCCAAUUACAGUAGGUUCAUGCGAGUCAGCCGUCAGGGGAGGUGGUUGGGGUAGGGUAAGGGCUAGGACAGAAGAUGCUCUUCGAAGAGCUGGGUCGUCGAGAGCUUCUCGAAGACGGACAGGGAUGCCCCUGUUCUGGUAGCGCUUGGCAGGUCGUUCCACCAGUGUGGAAAGAGUCUGGAUUGUCAUGUGCGGGGUGUUGACGACAAUCCUUUGAUGAAGGGAGUAGUCGAGGGUGGGUCACAUGAGCCAAUUACAGUAGGUGCAUGCGAGUCAGCCGGCAGAGUGAGUGUGAGUAUCUAAUCGGGAUGGCACGAUACCACUUUUUUGUAUUUGUUACCAAUAUCACUCAGCCAUUUUAGACCCUUUAAACUGUUGACAACACAUUUGUGGCAUUUCAAGCUAUUGUGUUUGGAUUGUAUUGGAUUUUACAUUUUUUUUAUCUGUCCGAUAUCCGAUCCAGUGAUUUUGACCAGUAUCUGACUGAUACUGAGUAUCAUAUCGGCUCAUCCCUAGUAUCUAAUCAGCCAAUCCCAUGGUGGCUUCCCACCCCACAAUGACAAUGCAUUGUGCCUCAACUAAGGAAUACAAUCAUCCGUCCAAAACUGUCAAGGAAGCUGGUAAAAUACAGUAAUAGGCAUAUACAGACAAGGUUUGCAGAAGACUUGGUCCUUUCUGUCCAGUGGUGAUCAUCCACUCUUGGAUGAAGUAAUUCAUCUCUCUUCUGGAAGGAGAAACGAGCUCUCCAGAGUCAGAACUAAUAGAUUUCCCUAUGUUCCAAUCAAGACUAUCAGUCUGCACAAUUCUUGAUAGUUCUUUUAAAUCUGAAUUUUGAUUAGGAUUGCUUUAAGUCAAAUUUGGUUGUGUGUGUCCAUGGUGUCCUCUGUCCUUGUUUAUUAUGUUUCUUUGUUAAUAAAUUAUUAUAUUGAUUUUUGUACCAUCUAACUGGAAAAUAAAUGUCCCUUUGUGGGACAAUAAAGCUCUGAACUGAACAGAAGACCAUCUCUGAACACACAACCAGGACCACACUUGAUGCCACUAUAUUAGAUGUCAUUUGUACCUAAUAAAGUGGCCAGAGCGUGGAUAUAACAUGUAGGACCUCAUCAGUCAAUCUUACCAUAUACAUAGAAGACUGAGGACCAGCCGGUGUACUGAACUAGGAUCCCAGCCAGAGGCAUCGCUAUCACAGCUCCAGCGUAGGACCCUGACAAAACAGACAAAAACAGUUUUAAUCAGUAUAUUAACAUUUAAAACACCAAAGAAAUGAAGGGAAAUAGAGACAGCUGAGUGUUUACCACAGAAUGAUAUGGUGGCCAGACGACUUCUCUCCAGUGGAGGUGCCCACUUACUCCAGAUGCCAUGGCAGGCCGGAUAAGUCACUCCCUAAAGAGACCACAGAGCAACAGUCGGUCUUUAUUCGCGGUGAGGACAACACGCGAAAAGAGACCGGAUGUCUAAGUGUUUCACUCUAAAGAGCCGAGUCAUCGUGAUCUGUAAAUGUGUGUGUUGAACGAGAAUGGACAACAAAGAGCUGACAAAGAUGAUCAAAUACAGUUACAGACCCCAUGUGUAAAAUAAUUUGCACCCAUCUCGGCCCAGUAAAUAUUGGAUGUCGAAAUGCAAGUAAGAAUUAACAUUUUCACCCCGAUUAACACGAGCCGUUCAUGGAGCAAAGCAGCUCUUAAAUCUGCAGCCAUUAGUUCUUCAUCAGUCACUAAUUUGAACAAACUGCACUGAUGUGAAAUCAGCAUGGACUUCCUGAAGACAGCGCUGUGCGUCAUCUGUGCGCACUGAAAUGAGAUUUUAAUUUUAAUAUUUUACUUCAUAAUACCUCGUUUUUUUGGACAUCUUAAUAGAAAAUGAUCAUAUUUCUGUGCAUGUGACUUCAACGACCAGUCAAAGAUGGUUUGUUGUACUAUAUCUGUGUGUCAUGUUGCACUACAAAGCCAGGGGAUUGAUUUGCUUUUGAAUAUCAGCAUUUUCCUUUCCAUCCAUUUGAGAACAUGUGUAUGAAUCUUUGUUGCCAGGAUACAAAGUGACAGUAAAAAAAAAACCAAACACAUAGUGGCCCUGAAUCAAUACUAUGCAUCUUAUAUUUCCUCCGGCUGUGAGUCUCAUGUUACAGUCUUUCCCUUUCAUGCCUUCAUGUGGAGUACAUCACCGCUAAUCCCCAUGCAGCCAUUCACGGACACAAUAACACGGACGCAACCUCAGACUCAUGGCACCUGCUUUUGUUCUGGCCACGGUGAGAGUGUGAACAGUGUGUCCAGCACUCCGCGGCACAAAGGAAAGCUCCAGAAAUACAACACCUUUAACAGUCUCUUACCUCCACCAGGCCUUGUAAUAUCCUCACAAAGAUGACACAUCCAUAAUGCACCCGAGCGGCCGAGGGGAUGAACAUGUUGAGCGUGGAGGUGAGGAUAAUGGCUGCACCAAACACCCUGCAAAUCAUCAAAUGCUGGUUAAAUGUAGCAUUUUUAUGAAAUAUUCACAUUUUUAAAAGGAAAAAUGACAAAUAUUGUCACUUUAUACCAAAAAUAUCC